rnacentral:rRNA from 1 species
AUUGAACGCUGGCGGCAGGCUUAACACAUGCAAGUCGAGCGGGGACUUCGGUCCUAGCGGCGAACGGGUGAGGAAUGCUUGGGAAUCUGCCUUGUAGUGGGGGAUAACGUUUCGAAAGGAACGCUAAUACCGCAUACGCCCUACGGGGGAAAGGGGGGGAUCUUCGGACCUCUCGCUAUAAGAUGAGCCCAAGUCGGAUUAGGAAGUUGGUGGGGCAAAGGCUCACAAAGGCGAAGAUCCGUACCUGGUCUGAGAGGAUGAUCAGCUACACUGGAGCUGAGACACGGUCCAGCCUCCUAUGGGAGGCAGCAGUGGGUAAUAUUGGACAAUGGGCGAAAGCCUGAUCCAGCCAUGCCGCGUGUGUGAAUAAGGCCUUCGGGUUGUAAAGCACUUUAAGCGAGGAGGAAUGGCUCUGGGUUAAUACCCUUGAGCAGUGACGUUACUCGCAGAAUAAGCACCGGCUAACUCUGUGCCAGCCGCCGCCGUAAUAC